rnacentral:rRNA from 1 species
GGCUCACUCAGCAAUUAAAGAAAUUCGCUUAAAGAUUGGGCGUGCGGCUGAUUAGGUAGUUGGUGAGGUAACGGCUCACCAAGCCAACGAUCAGUAACUGGCGUGAGAGCGCGACCAGUCACACGGGCACUGAGACACGGGCCCGACUCCUACGGGAGGCAGCAGUAAGGAAUAUUGGUCAAUGGACGCAAGUCUGAACCAGCCAUGCCGCGUGAAGGAUGAAGGUCCUCUGGAUUGUAAACUUCUUUUAUAUGGGAAGAAACCACUUUUUUCUAAAGGUGUUGACGGUACCAUAGGAAUAAGCACCGGCUAACUCCGUGCCAGCAGCCGCGGUAAUACGGAGGGUGCAAGCGUUAUCCGGAUUCACUGGGUUUAAAGGGUGCGUAGGCGGAUUAGUAAGUCCGUGGUGAAAUCUCCGAGCUUAACUCGGAAACUGCCGUGGAUACUAUUAAUCUUGAAUACUGUGGAGGUUAGCGGAAUAUGUCAUGUAGCGGUGAAAUGCAUAGAUAUGACAUAGAACACCAAUUGCGAAGGCAGCUGGCUACACAGAGAUUGACUCUGAGGCACGAAAGCGUGGGGAUCAAACAGGAUUAGAUACCCUGGUAGUCCACGCCCUAAACGAUGAUUACUCGACAUUUGCGAUAUACAGUAAGUGUCUGAGCGAAAGCAUUAAGUAAUCCACCUGGGAAGUACGACCGCAAGGUUGAAACUCAAAGGAAUUGACGGGGGUCCGCACAAACGGUGGAGCAUGUGGUUUAAUUCGAUGAUACGCGAGGAACCUUACCUGGGCUAGAAUGCUGGUGGACCGGAUCUGAAAAGGGUCCUUUGUUCCCAUACCCCCCAGUAAGGUG